UAGUAUACAACUUUUUUAAGUGAUGAGGCUAAUUAAAGAAUUUUUUUCCAGAAGCCCAAUAAAGCAGAUGGAUUGAGCCCAAUUAUCUUUUUUGCUCUUUGUGCCUCUUAUUUUGUUGUGGGCCAGUUUUACAUAUAAAUAUUUUGGUUUUGGCCAUAUGCAAAAUUAAUACUCCAUCCGUCCACGAAUUAAAGCCCUACUUGCCCUUAAAUUUUUGUCCACCAAUUAAAGCCCUAUUGUGCUUUUUGUACCCUUUUAUCCUCUCUCUUUACUUUAAACUACUACCAUUUGCCAUUAAUUAUCCCAUCUCAUUUUUUAACCCAUUUAAUUAACUAACUAAUUAUUCUCCUAAUUAAUCUAGCAUCUUUUCGGCAGUUUUAAAACAACCACAGAUUUGGGCCAAUUUUCCUUGAAGCAGUGCCUGGGCCAUUUUAUGUUGAUUUUCAUUGUUCUUCAUUUUGAGGAUCUAGAGUAUUCUAUGAAAUUAUACCUUUCUCUCUCAUUUUCACGAAUCUAUGAAUCUCUUUGCACCCAAAAUGUCUCAAUUCAUCAUACGAAUUCCCGACCUUCGAUCUAUCUGAAUCGGAGUCGACGAUGUCGGAAUCUGAAGCGACGACUUCGAUCUCUCUGAAUCGGCGUCGUUCCUGCUGGAAUCCGAAGCGGCGGGCUUCCAUCUCUUUGAAUCGGAGUUGUUCCUGGCGGAAUCCGAAGUGGCGGGGUUCGAAAUCUCUGAAUUGGAGCCCAGGUCGCCAUUGAAGCCUGAAAUUCGUCCGCGAAUAAAGGAGUUAAGGCUCAUGUCCUUGAGGGUAUAUCAUUUGGGGCUCUGCAUUUCUUUAUGGUUCUAAUUUAUGUGUUGCUUGGCUGCUUCGAGUUGUUUUGUGAAGUGGGUAUUCACUGAACUUUCAAAGGAUGAGUUUUUUCUUACCUCUCUCUCUCAACUGAUCUUGGAUGUGUUCUUAGUUUUGUCUGCGGUUGAUUUUUUUCACUUGGGGUUUUGGGCGUAGGAAUCUUGGAUUUGUGGGAUUUGAUCUGCUGCCCAAAACUUAAUCAUAACAAAAUCUUGGUCAGUUUGGUUUGACUUAGUUUCUUCAAUAUUUUCAUUUUUUUUCUCCAAUUGUUGGAGCAAAAAUUGGGGGCGAGACAGAGGUAUGAAGUUAACGGUGGGGUGGCUGACGACAAUUUACUUCAAUAUUUUCAUUUGUAUCAAUAGUCUCAUUUGCUUCAUGAAUCUAACAAAUAUUUUCGCCUGAGAUGUGAAGACGGCGGCAUGAGGGAGAGAGCGAGAGAUUAAUGAGAACAGACUCAACAGAGAGAGGGAGAGAAAAAAAGAGUAAAUCAAUAAAGCAAAAGUCAUCACCUAAUUAUGGAUUAGUAAAAAUAAUUUAAUAUCUUAACUACUAUCCUUUUAUUUCACUCACAACACCUUUUUCAGUUUUCUUAGUUUCCGCGCCGAUACUCAAAUGGGGUUUUAAUUGGUGGACGGAGGGAG
rnacentral:lncRNA from 1 species